UCUAAAAGCAAAGGAAGAAAUGACCCCUGGGACUUAGCUUAAUGGUAGAGUUCUUGUUUAGUGGCAUCUUAAAAGAAAUGAAGUAGAUAAAAGGUAUGCUUUCUUACUAUGAGCAUGCUUGAAAUGCUCGGAUAACCAAGAGAACCCUUUUAUUUAACUAACCUGCUCCCCUUUCCUGCUGCCUCUGUGACAGAAACCCCUGCAGCCUGCCUUUCUCCCCGGCAGUUAUCCACUUUCCUCUAUCCACCGCCUACAUCUCCUACAGCAUGGAUACCAACCCAACGCCACCCCUACACACACACACACACACACACACACACACACACACACACACAAUUCCAGGUGUUGAGCUGAGAAAGUCCUCUGUUUAUCUCCCACACCUGUGUGAUUAUACACCCCUAAACUUUAGGGAGCUAGUUUCAUUUGCUGCUAAACAAGUAAUUAAACUACACCUGAAUUUGUAGCUGUUACCUGUUAUAUAUAAAAAUAAUACAUAAAUGGAAAGGCUCGGGAGGGGUUGUAAGCUGGAGCAGCAGCAGAAAUCACUACCUUGGCAGGAACAUCCUCUGUACUGGGUUCAGGUGGGCACAACUCUUCAGCCCUAACUCUUGAAACUCUGGGUUGACAGAAGGGCCAACAGCCUACAUUUUGACAACCUCUCAGGCCUUGUGAUGUAAACAGACUCACUCCAGGGAGGAGUGGUCCUUUCCUACCGUUUGCCCCUCAUUUCCCAGACUAGACAUUCUCUAGAAGAGAGUGGGAACAGGGGGGUUCAGGGACAGCUGUAAAACUCACUUUGUCACACACUUUAUGCAAAAAGCUUUGGCCUGGUCUCUAGGAACUUCAUUGUUCUCCUUAUGAAAGAGGAAGUCAGGGUUAGGGCUAGCCAGUGACUCAAUCUUAAAAGCCACCCUUAAGAAUUUCUACAUCCUCCAAAAAUAAGACCUAGAGAUGUCAGAGAAAAAAACAACUUGUCCACGUGUGGAUGGAUGGCUCUGACUGCCUUCGUGCCAAGCCCCUGGGUGGCAGUCCAGAGCUACUUGGACCACUUAAUGGCUCACUCCAGCCUUGAUAAAGCCAAAUAAACAAGGAAAAAAAAUAUUAGCUGUAAAUGUCAGAGAGGUACAGCAAAAACAGCUUGGUACUCUUUUAGUUACGUGAUCCAGAUUCUUUUAACGGCUGUGUCAUUCUAACCAAAAUUUUAAAGGGUGCAGAAACCAGUCAUUAGGUUGCUAGAGAAUAUUUCACACAGCAUGUUAAUUUAUUGCACACUCGUGUGUAUGUGUGUGUGUGUGUGUGUGUGUGUGUUAGCCUGGUUACAACUAAGACUCAGACACAGUCCUGUCAGCCAUUUCUCAACCCACCCUCAGCGCUUUGAGCUUAGCAGUAUUGUAGUAUUGCCAUUUUGAAGCAGACAGUUUUAGGAGAGAAAGGGCUACCUCACACCUUGCAAGGUUUUAAGCAGCCAUCCCUGGCCUCUACUGACUCCUUCUCCCAUGAUUUUGACAAUAACAAAUAUCCCCAGGUCUUACUAAAUGACUCCUGUAUUUUUCAAGGAAUUUUAAGCAAAGAUGUUUCUAAGAAAUUAUUGGGGGUCAGGUAGAUUGUAUUUGAGAGGAAAUUAUGUGGUCCAUUCAACCACAGCUUUGCUUUAUAGGACUCAAAGUUGUCAGGGUAAAAUAUACAUCUCAUAAAUGGUAGAUCACAAAAUGUGAUCUUAAGAACCUGAGUGGCUUCUUGCAUGGCCACCACACGACAGCAACACAGUGACACAGUCUAAUAAAGAAAUGGGACUCACUUAAAAGUCACACAGCACUCAUUGUAGCAGCAAGCUAUGACCGUCUAACUGGGCAGAUGCCUUUCUAGUUAGCAGUGUUAUUUUUACACGACAGUGAAACUUGCCUCUUUAACUGUGAAGAAUAAAGACAACUAGGCCAAUUUACUCUAGUCACCUCAGUGAUUAUUCCUGAUACAUAGCUGAACCCGACAUGUGAAAAUCUCACUAAGAUUUCAUUGAACAGAAGGCAGGAUUCUCAGCUGAGCUCCCUCAUCUAUCUCCAUGCACACAGAGAACAACUCUACACACAAAAGGGACUCACCCUUCAUGUACUUUCAGGAAGGGCGGAGCCAUCAGCAGGAAAAACAUCCAGAGGCAAAAGAUAAACAUGGGGGGAAAGUUGGAAGUACAAUAUUUACUACUUUAAAGUAUAAAGACAUAGCCAUUGUGUAAAUAUAUAGAUUGUAUUGUUUGUACUUGAUUUUGGCAAAGGAAGCCGAGACGUAAAUGUAUAUAUUGCACAGCUGUAUUAGAAUUGUCUAUUUUUUAAAGAGGAAACUGUCCUAUUUCUCAACUGAUAAGUACUCCUGGUAAGAUGUAAUAUUUGCUGGUUUUAAUUAAAUGUGUCUUGUCAUUUUUCUCUCCACCAAAAGUAUAUAAGAUGGAUGUAUUUCCUUGUGUAUCAACUUAGUGAAUUUAUCUGACUUCUUAAAAACAAUCAAACUGUAGUAAUUGACAUAAAGAAAAGCCCAAGAGCCAGACAGAAACGUUUUAUUUAACUGUAAAUCAUCCUUUUCAUACCCUGUUGUUAAGUAUCAUUAAAAGUGUUUUGACAGU
rnacentral:lncRNA from 1 species